UACGUAGGGACCUAGCGUUGUCCGGAAUCAUUGGGCGUAAAGCGCGCGUAGGCGGCCCGGUAAGUCCGUUGUAAAAGUCGAAGGCUCAACCUUCGAAAGCCGAUGGAUACUGCCGGGCUAGAGUCCGGAAGAGGCGAGUAGAAUUCCUGGUGUAGCGGUGGAAUGCGCAGAUAUCAGGAGGAAUACCCAUAGCGAAGGCAGCUCGCUGGGACGGUACUGACGCUGAGGCGCGAAAAGCGUGGGGGGAGCGAAACAGGG
rnacentral:rRNA from 1 species